rnacentral:rRNA from 1 species
UGGGGAAUCUUCCGCAAUGGACGAAAGUCUGACCGAGCAACGCCGCGUGAGUGAUGACGGCCUUCGGAUUGUAAAGCUCUGUUGAUCGAGACGAAAGGCCGUCUUGCGAAUAGUUAGAAGGAUUGACGGUACCGGAAUAGAAGCCACGGCUAACUACGUGCCAGCAGCCGCGGUAAUACGUAGGUCCCGAGCGUUGUCCGGAUUUAUUGGGCGUAAAAGCGCGCGCAGGCGGAUUGGUCAGUCCUGUCUUAAAGGCUCGUGGGCUUAACCCCGUGAUGUUUGGAAAACUGCCAAUCUAGAGUAUCGAAGAGAAAAGUGGAAUUCCUGUGUAGCGGUGAAAAUGCGUAGAUAUUAGGAAGAACACCGGUGGCGAAGGCGACUUUCUGGACUGUAACUGACGCUGAGGCUCGAAAGCCAGGGGAGCGAACGGGAUUAGAUACCCCGGUAGUCCUGGCCGUAAACGAUGAGUGCUAGGUGUAGGAGGCUUCCACGCCUUCUGUGCCGGAGUUAACGCAAUAAGUACUCCGCCUGGGGAGUACGACCGCAAGGUUG